UUAGCUCUUUCUUUCUUUUUUUCUUUUUUCUUUUUUUCUAUAUAUUUUGAUUAGAGAUCAAUAAAAGACACAGACGAUUAGAGAUUAAUAAAAGACACACAGGCGAGUGAUUUUCUAUACUUUUUGCCUCAAUUUCUUAAUAAGGGGAGAAGCAGAAAGCUCUUGAAAUAUUUGGUGCAAGGCAAAGCAAGAUAAGAGCAAGAUAAUAUUUAUUUUACAGGCAGUUUUUGAUCAUCCUCUUUUUACAAGCUUAUUUUAUUGCAGUCAGGGAGGCUCUUAAUGGAGUUUAUUUGUUCCAACAGGGACAUACAAUUCCAGGGAUACCGAGUGCAGGGGACUCCGUCCAUAUAUCUUGAUGUUAUAAAAAGGUCAGAGCCAUUUUUGGUGGUCGCAAAACUUUGAUUCCUCUAUUAC